GUGAGUAUAGCUCAGUGGUAGAGCAUGUGCUUAGCAUGCACAAGGUCCUGGGUUCAAUCCCCCGUACCUCCA
rnacentral:tRNA from 1 species